GCCGCCCCAAAAGACAGGGGGAGACACAGAUCUGACAGCAUGCAACACUCAGAGCUCGGCCAGGGACCAGGGACCGGGCAGCAGCGGAAGUCGGCGGCCACACCCACACAGCCUUCCUCCUUUCUGAGAAAGACCAUCAAAGCAAAGCGAAGGAUGACCACAGUAACUGAGGCUGCUGGAGUGCGGACCACAUGCUGGACACGGUUUAUACCCUCUACGGAAGACCUGACCUUGAUGAACAUUCGCAAUGACCCUUAGGGGUAAAGCCUAUCACUGCCUCAUUUUACAGGCCAGAGCUGGAGGAAAGAUUUCCUGGACAAAAGUAAAUCAUCUCAGUCAACUGUGAUGACAGCCUUCACCCAGGCACUUCUCAUCAGGCGAGGGAAGGCAGUGGAGGGUAGUUGGUAACUCGAGAGCGGAGGGAGCAGUCCACAGUCUGGAGAGGGACUCGGUUUCUCCACAGCCCAGGAGAUGCCGCGUCCUUCACUCUUGCCAGCUUUGCUUACAAAUAAAAACAAAGAAAGAAA